rnacentral:lncRNA from 1 species
GAGCUCUUCAAUACACAGUAUGUCACUUAUUUUUUACAAAAUCAUGUAUGGUAAGCAGAUCUUAAUAUCAUGAAUAAGGAAAAUGAGGUGCUGAGAAAGAAAAUAAUUGACAUUCAUACUUCCAAACAAGGCAGAGUUGGAAGUGAAAUUGUAGCUUUCUAAACCUAAAUGCCAGUUCAGAAAUACAGAUAACAUUCUACAUAAUUGCCAAGAGAUAUAUGAAAUGUUGCCACAACAAAAAGAUGAUAUAUACCAUAAUUUGUAUUAUUCUGUUAAUUUAUUAAAAUAAAAAUAAAUUUAUAAUUUAAAAACUGCAGUUACACAUCAUGCCCUAUUUUCUUUUUAUUUAUUUAUUUAUUUAUUUAUUUAGGUACCGGGGAUCGAACUCGGGUCCUUGCGCUCCUAUUUUCUUUUAAUGGCACCUUUAGAUUCUAUCGAUGUUCAGUGUAACCAGGAAAAAUCUUUGAAUUAAUGUCUUCCUUUAGAAAAUAAAGAUGUAAAACUACUGUCUACUAUUAACUGCAACAAGCACCAGGGAGAUAGGGCUGUAGAGAUGGAAAAAGGAGGAAGGGAAUGUUUGAUUGACAAGCAGUUUCUGAAGGGUUCUCAAAGUGAGGUCCACACAACUGCACCAUAUGGGAAUUCUCCAAAAUUACAAACUGCUGAACCCCACUUCUGGGCUACUGGAUUAGGACCAGGGCAGAGAGCCCCCUAAUCCAUGGAUAAAAAGGUCAUUUUGAUAAACAGUAACUUUAAUCAUUGUUGUACAUGCUUUACUCUCUGGGCAGGUAAGGUUUAACAUGAAUAAUUUAUACCAAGAGGGCAACCAUAGGCUUAUAAAAAUGUAACAAGUUCAUGAUCUGAGUCAUACUUUUUGUUUUGAAGUGAACUUUGUCCACUCAUCGACAGGGUUACCUCAUAAUCCACAGAAACGUAUGUGACGAUUCGUACAUCUAUCUGAUGCUAGGACAAGACAGGUUACAGCUCCAGCUCUGGGUUUUGAAUCCAAGUAUCAGAACUCCCUGACAUAACCAAAGAGACUGGACAAAGCCCAAGGACAGCUUUGUCCUUGGAAACUCUAAGAAGGAUGCCCAAUUUAAAUGAGAUAGUCUGAUUUAGAGACACUACACAUCAAAUUUAUAAAUCAAUAUUAUUAAUUAAAAGCAAUAACUCAGACAAUGUAAAAAUAAGCAUCCAACUCCCAAUACGUUCUGCUAAUGCAUAUAGUGUUAACUAUAUGCCAAACACCGUUUUAAGUGCUUUACACAUGGUAACUCAUUAUAAACUACUAUUUAGAUUACUAAAGUCCCCAUUGCAAUCUUAGGAGAUAGAUGCUAUAAAUAUCUUCAUUACAUAGAUGAAAAAGCAGAGGCACAAAAACUUGAAGUUACUUAUCUCAGGAGAAAUCUAUCAAGUGAUAUAGCUGAUAUUUGAAUCCCAAGUAGUUUGCUCCUGUAAUCUAUUAUUUUAAUUACUACAAUGCACUGCCUCUUCAAUAAUUUUAAACUUUAUAAAAUAAAUUCCAAAUCAACUUGAACAUGAAGAAUGUGGGUUCAAAUAAUCUUGAAAAACAUGAACUUGACCCUUUAGUUUGCAGAUACUGCCUUCCUUCCAGCUAUAGAUAAUAACUGCUAUUAACUCCAAAAGAAUCCUGAAACAACAUCUUCUAUAGCGAAAUAAUAAAAUCACAAAAGAAAUAUAAGUA